CCCAUUGUCUAAACCAUCAAUUUGUUCGUUCUCCUCUUUCUCUUCCUCCUCUUCAAAAUCAUCUUCCAACACACUUUUUCUUGGCUCAAGUGAACCAAUUGAUUCAAGAGUCCUUCUUUUCUUAAUCCGCGGUAAAGCAAUAUCACAGGAAUAAUCUUUCGUCAGAAGCUCAUCUAUAACCUCAUCCACAUGUGUUAAGGCGAAUUUUCCGUCAGCUAGCUUUUGCCUUAAUUUUCGAUAGUCGUUGUAUAAAGGCUCUAGGUACCGGUACACAUCCACAUCAGUCCCAGUGAGACGCAGAUAAAAAGCACCAAGUAUUCGCACAUAU
rnacentral:misc_RNA from 1 species